UAUUGUUCUUGCCACGAGAACAUAAAAUUCAUAUCUUCUCGCCACCGUGUAAUAUCCUCUAUAUACGGGAUGACACGUAACUGACCUUCCGGAGCGUAUUUUGCCCUAUACAUGUAGGUAGACUGGGUAAUAGCAUUCGCUGGGCCCAUUGCCAACGUUCUGCGUUUAAUUUGUUGGGCGUAUCGUUUCAUAUCGUGUUGUCUGCGCCCUUAUUUUGUUUUAAGUAAUUCUUGUACAGUUUCCUUUUAUCUUUCUAGUAGUUGCCUACUCGUAAGACUAGAAUACGUCAACCCAAUGCAAUGCUGGAGAUAAUUUUUCCUCUUUAACAGGUCAUGUGUCCGUUCAACUCUUCAUUUUGGCCGGACACGCUAAAUGCCGGACUUGGUUGGUCCUUGGUCUUGUGCUCAAGAUCCCUAGCUCAACUUUUCCCACUACCGACCGCGGUAUGAUUCAUCGCUAAGAUGAACGUGAUUCCGCGUUAGUUCCCGCGUGAAACAGUGCGUGACGCGUUCGUUUCGACCCAAAGAAACUGAGAACGAAAAAGAAUCCAACAUGGCGGGAUACAUGGCAUUUCAUAUAAUACGAGCAUAUUUUGACGCUGAAGCUGUGACGAAGAGGCCUUUUGUGAUAUCAGUUGACUUUAGAAAGGUAUUUCCCUUCGUCUGGUUGGAUAUGGGCGCAAAGGAAAUAGCUGCAGCGGCUGCAAAACACUGAAACAGAAACCACGUUUACAAACGCUCACCGCCGACAACAGCCUGGCAAUUCCUUACGGUUAAUGCAAGACUCUUAGCCGAGGUCCUGAUAGAGAGACAAGAUUGGAAUAUAAACUCACCCAAAAUUAAUGGAGGAUGUGUCUAAAUGAGGCUCAGAUUUAGCCAGUCAAGAAUGUGAAUGAGAUACAGGAGAGUUAAAAGUCGUGGAACUGACCAAGACAUUAAAAAGCCAAACCAAAUAGAAGGCUGGAAGGUCUAAGACCAGACUCAAGUCAGAUGGAAUGUAAAUGAGAGACAGAAAAGUUAAGAGUCAUGGUGAGUGAUAUGAAUUACUGUUAUGUUUUCUUUGAAUGUUUGAGUGGUACCUAAUAGGUUACUUAAUUAAUUAGUGACUUGUGGGAAUUGUUGUAAUACCUGGAUACUUCAUAGCAACAUUUUGUGCUAGCUACUUGUAGAUGACAAGCUAUCCAUCACUUAAUCAAAAAAGGAAAAUUGCUGUUCAUGAAGCGAUGUAGCCCCUGAUGUUUGACCUGGUGUUUGAGUUUGAAAAUAUGAAUUAAUGUACAGUAUGUAUUUAAAUAUGUAAGAGGGGUUGCGAAUGGUAACUUGAAAAUCUUGGGUGACACAGUCAAACUUUUGAUUUGAUCUCAAAAUCUUGGAAUCCUCAUUUCAGUGUGAAUUGUCUCGUCUCAGAGCCAGCUUUUAGCCAGAUUAGUCCAAAC